rnacentral:rRNA from 1 species
GAUGAACGCUGGCGGCGUGCCUAAUACAUGCAAGUCGAGCGAACGGACGAGAAGCUUGCUUCUCUGAUGUUAGCGGCGGACGGGUGAGUAACACGUGGAUAACCUACCUAUAAGACUGGGAUAACUUCGGGAAACCGGAGCUAAUACCGGAUAAUAUUUUGAACCGCAUGGUUCAAAAGUGAAAGACGGUCUUGCUGUCACUUAUAGAUGGAUCCGCGCUGCGUUAGCUAGUUGGUAAGGUAACGGCUUACCAAGGCAACGAUGCAUAGCCGACCUGAGAGGGUGAUAGGCCACACUGGAACGGAGACACGGUCCAGACUCCUACGGGAGGCAGCAGUAGGGAAUCUUCCGCAAUGGGCGAAAGCAUGACGGAGCAACGCCGCGUGAGUGAUGAAGGUCUUCGGAUCGUAAAACUCUGUUAUUAGGGAAGAACAUAUGUGUAAGUAACUGUGCACAUCUUGACGGUACCUAAUCAGAAAGCAACGGCUAACUACGUG